UGGGUUCUGGGUCAUACAAGGGUACAAACUACAUUCCACAUGUGAGUCCUUUAAGACAAUUGCCAGGUUAAGCAUUUUACCCAAGAUGUCUUCAGGUCUCUGUUAUUACAGCUGCGGAAACAUCUUAACAUUAUCUGGAAACUUCUUUAAUGGAAAAACACAUCUUGCAGAAAUACAAAAACACAGCAGAUAUAAUCAGUAAAUAAAUGGUAAAAAGUAUCAUCAGUUCCAUCAAAGACGAAAUAAGGCUAAAAACGAAAUUUUCCAUUACAGCAUCAUAAUUGUUGCAUAGUCAUUUGCUGUGCUCUCCUAAUACAGCCAAAACAAAGUUUGCUAUAAAAUAAUUCCUCAACAAUACAGCUUAUUCAUUCAGUCUGUGGAUAAAUAUACAAAUUUCUGUAUUUGGUAUGUUGCUUUUACUCUGUUCAAUAAAACAGAGGAUGCAAACAUUUCGCAAACAAUUUUUUCAGUUUCAGAUUUAUUUUUAGGGAGACACUGUUGUUUAAGACAAAUUCUUGCUCUCUCCUAUUUGGAGUCAGGGCAAAGUAUAAUGUUGUUAAUGGUGAUUAAUUCGAACCUCACUCAACAUGCUUUCUUAACAAGCAGAUAUGCCAGAAUCAUUAUGGUCAGUCCUCUGACGAGCAGAAACCAGGUCUGGUGAAAAGUCCUCAGCUCAGCGGACCUUAGCAGACACCUUGUAGGGAUGAGGCACUCGUGUCGUUCCAGUGAUUCCCUCAGUGCUCAGCUCAACUCCGUCAGGAACAGAGAAAGUAAACUUCUGCAGUAA